rnacentral:rRNA from 1 species
AUUGAACGCUGGCGGCAGGCUUAACACAUGCAAGUCGAGCGGGGAAGGGUAGCUUGCUACCUGACCUAGCGGCGGACGGGUGAGUAAUGCUUAGGAAUCUGCCUAUUAGUGGGGGACAACAUUCCGAAAGGAAUGCUAAUACCGCAUACGCCCUACGGGGGAAAGCAGGGGAUCUUCGGACCUUGCGCUAAUAGAUGAGCCUAAGUAAGAUUAGCUAGUUGGUGGGGUAAAGGCCUACCAAGGCGACGAUCGGUAGCGGGUCUGAGAGGACGAUCCGCCACACUGGGGCUGAGACACCGCCAAGACUCCUACGGGAGGCAGCAGUGGGGAAUAUUGGACAAAGGGCGCAAGCCUGAUCCAGCCAUGCCGCGUGUGUGAAGAAGGCCUUUUGGUUGUAAAGCACUUUAAGCGAGGAGGAGGCUACUGGUAUUAAUACUACCGGAUAGUGGACGUUACUCGCAGAAUAAGCACCGGCUAACUCUGUGCCAGCCGCCGCAGUAA